rnacentral:tRNA from 1 species
AACUAAUGAGCUUGAUAUAAGCAUAUGUUUUGAAAACAUAAGAUAAAAAUAAAAAUUUUUAUUAGUUU